AGUUCGAUCCUGGCUCAGAUUGAACGCUGACCGGAUCUUUACACGCGCGCGCGUACAAGUCGAACGGCAGCACGGUUUCGGUCUGGUGGCGAGUGGCGAACGGGUGAGUAAUGUAUCGGAACGUGCCUAGUAGCGGGGGAUAACUGCGCGAAAGCGUAGCUAAUACCGCAUACGCCCUUCAGGGGAAAGCGGGGGACCUUCAGACUCGCGCUAUUAAACAGCCCGAUAUCGGAUUAGCUAGUUGGUGGGGUAACGGCUCACCAGGCAGCGAUCCGUAGCUGGCGUUUGAAAGGAACGACCAGCCACUGGGACUGAGACACAGCCCCAGACUCCUACGGGAGGCAGCAGUGGGGAAUUUUGGACAAUGGAAACCCUGAUCCAGCCAUCCCGCGUGUGAUGAGAGGCCUUCGGGUUGUAAAGCACUUUUGGCAGGAAAAACGGCACGGGAUAAUACCCCGUGCAAUGACGGUACCUGCAGAAUAACAGCUAACUACGUGCCAGCAGCCGCGGUAAUACGUAGGGUGCAAGCGUUAAUCGGAAUUACUGGGCGUAAAGCGUGCGCAGGCGGUUCGGAAAGAAAGAUGUGAAAUCCCAGAAGCUUAACUUUGGAACUGCAUUUUUAACUACCGAGCUAGAAGGUGGACCGGGGAGGUGGAAUUCCGCGUGUAGCAGUGAAAUGUGUAGAUAUGCGGAGGAACACCGAUGGCGAAGGCAGCCUCCUGGGACUGCUGACACUCUUGCGAAAACGUGGGGAGCAAACAGGAUUAGAUACCCUGGUAGUCCACGCCUAAACGAUAUCAACUAGCUGUUGGGGCCUUCGGGCCUUGGUAGCUAACGCGUGAGGUCGGCCGCCUGGGAAGUACGGUCGCAAGAUUAAAACUCAAAGGAAUUGACGGGGACCCGCACAAGCGGUGGAUGAUGUGGAUUAAUUCGAUGCAACGCGAAAAACCUUACCUACCCUUGACAUGUCUGGAAUCCCGAAAGAGAUUUGGGAGUGCUCGCAAGAGAACCGGAACACAGGUGCUGCAUGGCUGUCGUCAGCUCGUGUCGUGAGAUGUUGGGUUAAGUCCCGCAACGAGCGCAGCCCUUGUCAUUAGUUAACUGCAGAAAGGGCACUCUAAUGAGACUGCCGGUGACAAACCGGAGGAAGGUGGGGAUGACGUCAAGUCUCAUGGCCCACAGGUAGGGCUUCACACGUCAUACAAUGGUCGGGACAGAGGGUCGCCAACCCGCGAGGGAGAUAAAUCCCGAAACCCGAUCGUAGUCCGGAUCACCAGUCUGCAACUCGACUGCGUGAAGUCGAAAUCGCUAGUAAUCGCGGAUCAGCAUGUCGCGGUGAAUACGUUCCCGGGUCUUUGUCACACACCGCCCGUCACACCAUGGGAGUGGGUUUUACCAGAAGUGAUUAGCCUAACCGUAAGGAGGCGAUUACCACUGAUAAGGAUUCAUGACUGGGGUGAAGUCGUAACAAGGUAG
rnacentral:rRNA from 1 species